CCGAGAGCGGCGGACUGGUGAGUAACGCGUGGGUAACCUGCCUCGAGGAUGGGGAUAGCCGUUAGAAAUAGCGGGUAAUACCGAAUACGGUUGCGGGACGGGAGUUCCGCAAAGAAAGGAGCUCCGGCUCCGCCUUGAGAUGGGCCCGCGUCCCAUUAGGUAGUUGGUACGGUAACGGCGUACCAAGCCCGAGAUGGGUAGCCGGCCUGAGAGGGUGAACGGCCACACUGGGACUGAGAUACGGCCCAGACUCCUACGGGAGGCAGCAGCUAAGAAUAUUCCGCAAUGGGCGAAAGCCUGACGGAGCGACGCCGCGUGGAUGACGAAGGCCGAAAGGUUGUAAAAUUCUUUUGCCGGUGAAGAAAAAACGGGGGAGGGAAUGCCCCCGAGAUGACGCUAGCCGGUGAAUAAACCCCGGCUAAUUACGUGCCAGCAGCCGCGGUAACACGUAAGGGGCGAGCGUUGUUCGGAAUUAUUGGGCGUAAAGGGCGCGUAGGCGGCUGUGCAAGUCCGGCGUGAAAACCUCCGGCUUAACCGGGGAACUGCGUUGGAAACUGCACAGCUGGAGUCACGGAGGGGGAGUUGGAAUUCCUGGUGUAGGGGUGAAAUCUGUAGAUAUCAGGAAGAACACCGGUGGCGAAGGCGAACUUCCAGCCGAUGACUGACGCUGAGGCGCGAAAG
rnacentral:rRNA from 1 species